GAGUUUGAUCGUGGCUCAGAUUGAACGCUGGCGGCAGGCCUAACACAUGCAAGUCGAACGGUAACAGGAAGAAGCUUGCUUCUUUGCUGACGAGUGGCGGACGGGUGAGUAAUGUCUGGGAAACUGCCUGAUGGAGGGGGAUAACUACUGGAAACGGUAGCUAAUACCGCAUAACGUCGCAAGACCAAAGAGGGGGACCUUCGGGCCUCUUGCCAUCGGAUGUGCCCAGAUGGGAUUAGCUAGUAGGUGGGGUAACGGCUCACCUAGGCGACGAUCCCUAGCUGGUCUGAGAGGAUGACCAGCCACACUGGAACUGAGACACGGUCCAGACUCCUACGGGAGGCAGCAGUGGGGAAUAUUGCACAAUGGGCGCAAGCCUGAUGCGGCCAUGCCGCGUGUAUGAAGAAGGCC
rnacentral:rRNA from 1 species